UACGUAGGGUGCGAGCGUUAAUCGGAAUUACUGGGCGUAAAGCGUGCGCAGGCGGCUUUGCAAGACAGAUGUGAAAUCCCCGGGCUCAACCUGGGAACUGCAUUUGUGACUCCAAGGCUAGAGUACGGCAGAGGGGGAUGGAAUUCCGCGUGUAGCAGUGAAAUGCGUAGAUAUGCGGAGGAACACCAAUGGCGAAGGCAAUCCCCUGGGCCUGUACUGACGCUCAUGCACGAAAGCGUGGGGAGCAAACAGG
rnacentral:rRNA from 1 species